UAAGUUAGUUGAAGUUGUUAUUACUAGUUAGUGGUUGUUAUUUGAGUUAUGAAUGAUUUUUUUUCUUUUUUACGUGUGCGUUGUCAUUAUAAAAUUUGAGCAUUCAAGUUUUAAUUGGAAUGAUGAAACUAAAAUAGACUAAAUAGUUAGGGUUGCGUUUUAUUCAAUUUUCAUAUAUAUCAAUUUAUUUAUUUUUAACGAAAGCUUAGCCGUAAAUUAAUCAUAUUUAUG
rnacentral:lncRNA from 1 species